UACGUAGGGAGCAAGCGUUGUCCGGAAUCAUUGGGCGUAAAGCGCGCGUAGGUGGCCACAUAAGUCCGUUGUGAAAGUCAAAGGCUCAACCUUUGAAAGCCGAUGGAUACUGUGUGGCUAGAGUACGGAAGAGGCGAGUGGAAUUCCUGGUGUAGCGGUGGAAUGCGCAGAUAUCAGGAGGAACACCAAUAGCGAAGGCAGCUCGCUGGGACGUUACUGACACUGAGGCGCGAAAGCCAGGGGAGCGAACGGG
rnacentral:rRNA from 1 species